UACUCUCUACGAGUGCCAUGUUCAAUGUCCUUCUUCGUCUUGCACUUACUGACCACAAACGGUCUUUUCCAGCACUUUGACGCCAUGAUGUAGUAACUCAAAAAAUUCGUUCUUGUGUGAUUUAAAGUUUUCAAGAUGCAUUAAGCAUCUACAACCGCACUAAGUGCGGUUCCACGAUACCGGCCAUGCGGUACACUUGAACCAACUUGUGCUGUGGUGUUGGGGGCCUGUCCCCGGCAGCCCGGAAGCAAAAUGAUGUGACCGCACCUAAUUCAGGAAAGCCGACGACUAUUUCAUUAUUUUUGGCAUGAACUACUAACCUUUUUUAAUCAACUCUACAUAAUGUGAAAAUUUCGUGGACUUAACCUCAUCGGACUUCUCGUCAAACUUUGUCUUCUCUUCUAUCUUAAAGAAUUUUUUUUGAACCAAUGUAACGUCUUAUUUAAAAUAUGUAAUUUACAAGCAACGAAACAAUGUAACAUGGACUAAAGAUAUUUUGAUAAACAAAAAAUUUGUUUUGUAAGGAAUUCAUCAUGUAAUUAUUAAUUUGUUUUAAUAGUAAACAAAAAAUUUUUUAUUCGUUUUUGUAAGGGGCCCCAAAUCAGAUAAAACUUAAACAUAGUAAAAUCAGUAUCAUGUAAGAAAUAAUUUAAAAUACUAGUGAUAUUAAUAAUAUGGUCAGGGUGUUGAGAUUUAAAAAAUAAUUUACAUAAAAAAUAAAUUAUUUAUCUGAAAUUGUCCUUUUUAUUUAAUCAUUGAAUAAUACUCUUAUAGUUUAUUGUGAGUGUGCAUGACCAGUCAGCCCUGUUGAUACUCUAACUAACCCCUCCGCACAUCAAAACACUUCAUGAGCCUUGGUCCACGAGCUUUCAGCAUCCGCCUGCCUCUGUACAUAACCUCAAAAAUUUAUGAAUGGAGGUAAGGUGUGGUGCAAGAAAGAUACUACUACUACUACUACUGUCUAUGCUUCUAUAUGCAAAAAAAAUUUGAAAUGUAUAUUUCUGUCACAAUAUAUGUAUUGAACGAAA